UUAUUGUUGCUAUGAUCGCACACAGUGCAGAAUAAGACCAGGUUUUGAGGGUGUCAAGCGGAGCCUCUACCUACGGUAUACAGUGAAGUGGGUUGACUGGGAUAGUUCAAUUAUCCCAGUUAAAAUCUUUAUAUUUGAUGUCACUGAUACUGGAAAAAGGAUUACAGGUUCAACCGAACUCAGUCCUGAGAAUGGCUGCCAGGUCGAGUAUGAAGUUAUGCCUUGCAAUGGCACUGGUGUGGGUGUCGAUGAAUGUAUUGACGUCAAAAGGACAAGCCUCACCAUGCCUACUGGUGGUUAUGUCAUCUAUGGCGUUGCUCAUCAGCAUACUGGAGGGACCGGUUCAACUCUAUAUAGGCAGGAUGGACGUGUUAUAUGCAGUUCAAUUCCGACCUAUGGAGAAGGAAAAGAGGCAGGAAAUGAGGCUGGUUACAUUGUAGGGAUGUCCACUUGUUAUCCCGAGCCGGGCUCUGUAGAGAUUGCUGAUGGGGAGAAUCUAAUCCUGGAAUCUAAGUAUAGCAGAACUCAAAUGCAUACAGGAGUUAUGGGGGUAUUCUACAUUUUGGUUGCAGACCAAAUACCAAAGGCUAAGCCUUUUUCACACACAAAUCAUGUUCAUAUAAAUGAAGACAUGAAAUCCUCCUCUUAUUCUUGGGCAGUAGCAGUGGUGGCACUGCUGGGACUAGCAAUAGCUAUUGCCAUUACAAUUCGAUAUCAGCUAAAGAGGAAGGUAAAAGAUGGCUACCAACCAAUUAUGGCAUAAAGUUUGUAUUAUUACUACGCCUACCCAAAAAUAAUGUAAACAUAUGCAAUAGUGUUUUGAGCUUUUAUGUAUGGAAAGUAGAAAGCAAAUACGCUUAUGUGUGAAUCAACAAGGGACUCGUGUAGCAAUUGGAAGUCAAUGAUAUCGGAGAGUCUGUAAGAUGAGUUAUAUCAGAAAUCAAUUGGAAAUAAUGAGGUGGG
rnacentral:misc_RNA from 1 species